rnacentral:rRNA from 1 species
GACGAACGCUGGCGGCGUGCUUAACACAUGCAAGUCGAACGGAAAGGCCCUGCUUUUGUGGGGUGCUCGAGUGGCGAACGGGUGAGUAACACGUGAGUAACCUGCCCUUGACUUUGGGAUAACUUCAGGAAACUGGGGCUAAUACCGGAUAGGAGCUCCUGCUGCAUGGUGGGGGUUGGAAAGUUUCGGCGGUUGGGGAUGGAAUCGCGGCUUAUCAGCUUGUUGGUGGGGUAGUGGCUUACCAAGGCUUUGACGGGUAGCCGGCCUGAGAGGGUGACCGGCCACAUUGGGACUGAGAUACGGCCCAGACUCCUACGGGAGGCAGCAGUGGGGAAUAUUGCACAAUGGGCGGAAGCCUGAUGCAGCAGCGCCGCGUGCGGGAUGACGGCCUUCGGGUUGUAAACCGCUUUCGCCUGUGACGAAGCGUGAGUGACGGUAAUGGGUAAAGAAGCACCGGCUAACUACGUG